rnacentral:rRNA from 1 species
AUGCAGUCCACGGUACCUUCGGGUAUAGUGGCGGACGGGUGAGUAACGCGUGAGAAUCUGUCUUCAGGUCGGGGACAACAGUUAGAAAUGACUGCUAAUACCGGAUAUGCCUUGUUGGGGUGAAAGAUUAAUUGCCUGAAAAUGAGCUCGCGUCAGAUUAGCUAGUAGGUGGAGUAAGAGACUACCUAGGCAUCGAUCUGUAGCUGGUCUGAGAGGACGAUCAGCCACACUGAGAACUGAGACACGGUCCAGACUCCUACGGGAGGCAGCCGCUGGGGAAUUUUCCGCAAUGGGCGAAAGCCUGACGGAGCCAAUACCUCGCGAGGGACGAAGGCUUGUGGGACGAAAACCUCUUUUCUCAAGGAAGAUUUCAGACGGUACUUGAGGAAUAAGCAUCGGCUAACUCCGUGCCAGCAGCCGCGAAAAUACGGAGGAUGCAAGCGUUAUCCGGAAUGAUUGGGCGUAAAGCGUCCGCAGGUGGCUUUAUAAGUCUGCUGUAAAAGCGUUAGGCUUAACCUAAUUACGGCGGUGAAAACUAUAAGGUUAGAGCAUGUUAGGGCUAGAGGGAAUUCCCACUGUAGCGCUGAAAUGCGUAGAGAUUGGGAAGAACACCGGUGGCAAAGGCGCUCUGCUAGGACAAUCCUGACACUGAAGGACGAAAGCUAGGGCAGCGAAUGACAUUAGAUACCCCAGUAGUCCUAACCGUACACGAUGAAUACUACGCGUAGCCCGUAUCGACCCGGGCAUUGACGAAGCUAACGCGUUAACUAUCCCGCCAGGGAGUACGCACCCCAGUGUGAGACUCACCGGAAUAGACCGGCGCCAGCACAAACAGUCGAAGAAGUUGACUAAUUCCAUCCCACGCGGAGAACCUUGCCGGGACUUGCCAUGCCACGAACCCUAGCUAAAGCAGGUGGUGCCUUCCGGAGCAAGCACCCAGGUGGUGCAUGGCUGUCGUCAGCUCGUGUCGUGAGAUGUUGGGUUAAGUCCCGCAACGAGCGCAACCCUCGUUUUUAGUUGCCAUCAUUAAGUUGGGCACUCUAGAGAGACUGCCGGUGACAAACCGGAGGAAGGUGGGGAUGACGUCAAGUCAGCAUGCCCCUUACGUCCUGGGCUACACACGUACUACAAUGCGACGAACAAAGGGCAGCUAGUUAGCAAUAACAUGCAAAUCUCAGAAAUCGUCGCUCAGUUCAGAUUGAAGGCUGCAACUCGCCUUCAUGAAGUCGGAAUCGCUAGUAAUUGCAGGUCAGCAUACUGCAGUGAAUUCGUUCCCGGGCCUUGUACACACCGCCCCGAGUCGUUACCCUAACCUUUCGAGGAGGGGGACGCCGAAGGUAGGACUGGUGACUGGGGUGAAGUCGUAACAAGGUAGCCGUACCGGAAGGUGUGGCUGGAUCACCUCCUUUAUAGGGAGACCUAAAUCAAGUAAAAAGAACCAAGUAAAAAGUAAAAAGAAAGAGAAAAAUCUUUUGACUUUUGAUUUUUGAGUUUUGACUU